rfam:Trichobilharzia regenti genome assembly, scaffold: TRE_scaffold0017606
AUCCAGCUGACGAGUCCCGAAUGGGGCGAAAUGCGCGUUAUCCUGGAU